rnacentral:lncRNA from 1 species
AGUUCACAAUGGAGUUGGCUGUGACUGAAUCGGGGAAUACACCCAAAUCAUACACUCUAGCAAUGUCUAAGGACUUUGUUCCAAUGUCUGUAUUUGCUGAGACAUCUCAAGGUCAGUGUUCUUUUCUCUUUGCAUCCGCUCUCCACUUGGUUUUUAAGUUUCAUUAUUUGUAGAGAAUGAUGAUUGAAUUGCAUGCUUGGUUGAAUGAUGAUUAAUUGCAUGCUAGAUUUAGGGUGAUCAUUCUACACUCCUUGCUUGUUUAUGGUCUAAUGAGCUUGGAUUUACUCUUUUCAGUAUUAUGGUCUUGGCCUUUGUGAUGGUUUAAUAAAUUCACAUUGUCAAUUUACCACCAAAAAGUGAAAAAGGUCUAUCAGGUUACCAGAUACUGCUGGUUGAUUUAUUUACUGUAUGUGGCCGUCUAUGGUUUGGUUUGGUUCGCGGGCAGUUGGAUGAAAUUUUGAGCAUUUUUCCAUAACGGGGAAAGUUAGAUCAUGGCGGAAUGGUGUUGGAGAGUGAACUUUCCGGUUGACAUCUAAAUUUCAUCUAACUUUCCACCUGUCAAACCAAGCCUAUAUAUAUCUCUACUCGUAAUGAUACAUCAUCUACAACGUGA